rnacentral:rRNA from 1 species
CGUGUAGGCGGCUUGGUAAGUCAGAUGUGAAAGCCCUGGGCUCAACCCAGGAAGUGCAUUUGAAACUACCAGACUUGAGUACGGGAGAGGAGGGGGGAAUUCCCGGUGUAGAGGUGAAAUUCGUAGAUAUCGGGAGGAAUACCGGUGGCGAAGGCGCCCCUCUGGACCGAUACUGACGCUGAGACGCGAAAGCGUGGGGAGCAAACA